AGCGUUGUUCGGAAUUACUGGGCGUAAAGCGCGCGUAGGCGGUUUUUUAAGUCAGAGGUGAAAGCCCGGGGCUCAACCCCGGAAUUGCCUUUGAAACUGGAAGACUUGAAUCUUGGAGAGGUCAGUGGAAUUCCGAGUGUAG
rnacentral:rRNA from 1 species